CAUAUUUGGUUCAUAACAAAUGGAGCAUAGAGUAAUCGGAGCAUAUCAAUAGCGUACAAGAUGAUCCGGAGCAUAUUAAUGGCAAACAGGACAUUUCAGAAUAUAUCAGUUCAUAGCGAAUGGAGCACAGAGUAAUUGGAGCAUAUCAAUAGCGUAUAAAAUGUUCCGGAGCAUAUCAAUGACAUAUGGAACAUUUCGAAGCGUAACA
rnacentral:lncRNA from 1 species